AUACGUAGGGUGCAAGCGUUAAUCGGAAUUACUGGGCGUAAAGCGUGCGCAGGCGGCUUUGUAAGACAGUGGUGAAAUCCCCGGGCUCAACCUGGGAACUGCCAUUGUGACUGCAAGGCUGGAGGGCGGCAGAGGGGGAUGGAAUUCCGCGUGUAGCAGUGACAUGCGUAGAUAUGCGGAGGAACACCGAUGGCGAAGGCAAUCCCCUGGGCCUGCACUGACGCUCAUGCACGAAAGCGUGGGGAGCAAACAGGAUUAGAUACCCUGGUAGUCCACGCCCUAAACGAUGUCAACUGGUUGUUGGGGAUUUAUUUUCUCAGUAACGAAGCUAACGCGUGAAGUUGACCGCCUGGGGAGUACGGCCGCAAGGUUAAAACUCAAAUGAAUUGGCGGGG
rnacentral:rRNA from 1 species